rnacentral:rRNA from 1 species
UACGUAGGGUGCGAGCGUUGUCCGGAAUUAUUGGGCGUAAAGGGCUCGUAGGCGGUUUGUCGCGUCGGGAGUGAAAUCCACUGGCUUAACUGGUGGCUUGCUUUCGAUACGGGCAGACUGGAGGUAUGCAGGGGAGAACGGAAUUCCUGGUGUAGCGGUGAAAUGCGUUGAUAUCUAGGGGAACACCAAAAGCGAAGGCAAGAGACUGGACCACUCCUGACGCUGAAGCACGAAAGCGUGGGUCGCGAAUGGG